rnacentral:rRNA from 1 species
UGGGGAAUAUUGCACAAUGGGCGCAAGCCUGAUGCAGCCAUGCCGCGUGUAUGAAGAAGGCCUUCGGGUUGUAAAGUACUUUCAGUCGGGAGGAAGGUGGUAAGGUUAAUAACCUUAUCAAUUGACGUUACCGACAGAAGAAGCACCGGCUAACUCCGUGCCAGCAGCCGCGGUAAUACGGAGGGUGCAAGCGUUAAUCGGAAUUACUGGGCGUAAAGCGCACGCAGGCGGUUGAUUGAGUCAGAUGUGAAAUCCCCGGGCUUAACCCGGGAAUUGCAUCUGAUACUGGUCAGCUAGAGUCUUGUAGAGGGGGGUAGAAUUCCAUGUGUAGCGGUGAAACGCGUAGAGAUGUGGAGGAAUACCGGUGGCGAAGGCGGCCCCCUGGACAAAGACUGACGCUCAGGUGCGAAAGCGUGGGGAGCAAACAGG